rnacentral:rRNA from 1 species
CGGGACGGGUGAGUAAUGUCUGGGAAACGUGCCCGGUGGAGGGGGAUAACUACUGGAAACGGUAGCUAAUACCGCAUAACGUCGCAAGACCAAAGAGGGGGACCUUCGGGCCUCUUGCCAUCGGAUGUGCCCAGAUGGGAUUAGCUAGUAGGUGGGGUAACGGCUCACCUAGGCGACGAUCCCUAGCUGGUCUGAGAGGAUGACCAGCCACACUGGAACUGAGACACGGUCCAG